UACGGAGGGUGCAAGCGUUAUCCGGAUUCACUGGGUUUAAAGGGUGCGUAGGCGGGCAGGUAAGUCAGUGGUGAAAUCUCCGGGCUUAACCCGGAAACUGCCGUUGAUACUAUCUGUCUUGAAUAUCGUGGAGGUAAGCGGAAUAUGUCAUGUAGCGGUGAAAUGCUUAGAUAUGACAUAGAACACCCAUUGCGAAGGCAGCUUACUACACGAUCAUUGACGCUGAGGCACGAAAGCGUGGGGAGCAAACAGG
rnacentral:rRNA from 4 species